UCUCUCACAUUUCUCUCUCUCUCUCUCUCGGACACGGCCUCUUUGGCUGCGUUUGGGGGGCUUUUUUGCUCCCUCGCUUAUAAGCAGAAGACCCAUAAGCGUUUGGUAACCAAAAUUUUGAGCAGCUUUUUUCAGAAGCUGCAAUGGCUUCGGUCGAAAAGCAGAAGCAGAUUCAACCAAGCUUUUAGAAGCCAGAAGCCCGAAAUCACUGUGGCGCUGGUGACUGUAGAUUAAUGAACCUUCUAUAAUACCGGUCUUCACCCUUUCUUGGUUGAAGCUAUUACUCGUUGCCCUCAGACCCUUUUGAUAUCCGGAUAUCCCUACGCUGCAUCUAUCUCUCUCCCUCGUCACAGACGCCUCAUCGAUCUCGAUCCCUCUGAUGCCACCUCACGUAGCUUCUCAUCAAGAGCAAGCAAGGCUGCUAGGCAAUUUGAUUUAGGUUAGUUUUAAUGGUUGUGGAGACCUAAUCUUGGCAUCUUUCAUGACAUAUGUGUCGGAGCACCUUGCAACUAGAUCAUUCUUGAGAGGCCUUGAAGAACGAGAUGCUACGAGAAGUAGGAGAUUUUGUUAGAUAUAGUUCACUGGUGACAAAACUGAGCAUGUAAAACUAUUAACCAAAAGACCAAGUAUGUCCUGUAAGCAGUGUUUGAUCCUGUUGUAAUCUGUUUCACAUAGAACGCCUAGAUGAAUUUGUAAAUUAUUGCCAGAAAAUAUGUUGAUAAGUGCUUUUUCUCCAAGAAAUUUUGUUGUAACAUUGUUACGGAAACUAUUAAUGAUACUGUUAACAU